CAGGACUGGGGUCCUUCUAAGAGGAGGCAAAGACAGAGGCUGUUCUCCCUCUGCAAGUGGACACAGAAGACACACUGUUCUCCCUCUGCAAGUGGACACAGAAGACACAGGCUGUUCUCCCUCUGCAAGUGGACACAGAAGACACAGGCUGUUCUCCCUCUGCAAGUGGACACAGAAGACACAGGCUGUUCUCCCUCUGCAAGUGGACACAGAAGGCACAGGCUGUUCUCCCUCUGCAAGUGGACACAGAAGACACAGGCUGUCCUCCCUCUGCAAGUGGACACAGAAGACACAGGCUGUUCUCCCUCUGCAAGUGGACGCAGAAGAGGCUGUUCUCCCUCUGCAAGUGGACACAGAAGACUGAGGUUGUUCUCCCUCUGCAAGUGGACACAGAAGACACAGGCUGUUCUCCCUCUGCAAGUGGACACAGAAGAGGCUGUUCUCCCUCUGCAAGUGGACACAGAAGACACAGGCUGUUCUCCCUCUGCAAGUGGACACAGAAGAGGCUGUUCUCCCUCUGCAAGUGGACACAGAAGACACAGGCUGUUCUCCCUCUGCAAGUGGACACAGAAGACACAGGCUGUUCUCCCUCUGCAAGUGGACACAGAAGACACAGGCUGUUCUCCCUCUGCAAGUGGACACAGAAGACACAGGCUGUUCUCCCUCUGCAAGUGGACACAGAAGAGGCUGUUCUCCCUCUGCAAGUGGACACAGAAGAGGCUGUUCUCCCUCUGCAAGUGGACACAGAAGACACAGGCUGUUCUCCCUCUGCAAGUGGACACAGAAGAGGCUGUUCUCCCUCUGCAAGUGGACACAGAAGAGGUUGUUCUCCCUCUGCAAGUGGACACAGAAGACACAGGCUGUUCUCCCUCUGCAAGUGGACACAGAAGACACAGGCUGUUCUCCCUCUGCAAGUGGACACAGAAGAGGCUGUUCUCCCUCUGCAAGUGGACACAGAAGAGGUUGUUCUCCCUCUGCAAGUGGACACAGAAGACUGAGGUUGUU
rnacentral:lncRNA from 1 species